UACGUAGGGGGCAAGCGUUGUCCGGAUUUAUUGGGCGUAAAGAGCGUGUAGGCGGCCAGAUAGGUCAGCUGUGAAAACUCGAGGCUCAACCUCGAGACGUCGGUUGAAACCAUCUGGCUAGAGUCCGGAAGAGGAGAGUGGAAUUCCCGGUGUAGCGGUGAAAUGCGCAGAUAUCGGGAAGAACACCCGUGGCGAAGGCGGCUCUCUGGGACGGUACUGACGCUGAGACACGAAAGCGUGGGUAGCAAACAGG
rnacentral:rRNA from 1 species